GGCCCUAACUCAACUGGGAAAACGCCUGCCUUGCACCCAAGAAGUCAACGGUUCAUUCCCCUUGGCUCCCCCAUU
rnacentral:tRNA from 1 species